ensembl:misc_RNA Metazoa_SRP Metazoan signal recognition particle RNA
GCUGGGCGUGGUGGUGCAUGCCUGUAAUCCCAGCUACUCGGGAGGCUGAGGCAGGAGAAUUGCUUGAACCCGGGAGUUGAAGGUUGCAGUGAGCCGAGAUUGUGCCACUGUACUCCAGCCUGGAUAACAGAGCGAGACUCUGUCUCAA